rnacentral:rRNA from 1 species
GACGUUGGAAAUUUAUUUUCAGUGUCGCAGGGAAACCGAUAAACACACCGCCUGGGGAGUACGACCGCAAGGUUAAAACUCAAAUGAAUUGACGGGGACCCGCACAAGUAGUGGAGCAUGUGGUUUAAUUCGAAGAUACGCGCAGAACCUUACCAACACUUGACAUGUUCGUCGCGACUCUAAGAGAUUAGAGUUUUCGGUUCGGCCGGACGAAACACAGGUGCUGCAUGGCUGUCGUCAGCUCGUGUCGUGAGAUGUUGGGUUAAGUCCCGCAACGAGCGCAACCCUCACUUUUAGUUGCCAUCAUUAAGUUGGGCACUCUGAAAGAACUGCCAGUGAUAAGCUGGAGGAAGGUGGGGAUGACGUCAAGUCCUCAUGGCCCUUACGUGUUGGGCUACACACGUGCUACAAUGGUAUCUACAACAGGAAGCAAGACUGCGAAGUUUAGCAAAUCCCUAAAAGAUACCUCAGUUCGGAUUGCACUCUGCAACUCGAGUGCAUGAAGCUGGAAUUACUAGUAAUCGUGGAUCAGCGUGCCACGGUGAAUGCGUUCCCGGGUCUUGUACACACCGCCCGUCACACCAUGGGAGUUGGUUCUACCUUAAGGCAAGGUUUCAAACCCUUGACCACGGUAUAGUCAGCGACUGGGGUGAAGUCGUAACAAGGUAACCGUA